rnacentral:rRNA from 2 species
UGGGGAAUAUUGGGCAAUGGGCGAAAGCCUGACCCAGCAACGCCGCGUGAAGGAAGAAGGUUUUCGGAUUGUAAACUUCUGUCCUCAGGGAAGAAGGAAGUGACGGUACCUGAGGAGGAAGCCCCGGCUAACUACGUGCCAGCAGCCGCGGUAAUACGUAGGGGGCAAGCGUUGUCCGGAAUGAUUGGGCGUAAAGGGCGCGUAGGCGGCCUGUUAAGUCUGGAGUGAAAGUCCUGCUUUCAAGGUGGGAAUUGCUUUGGAAACUGGCGGGCUGGAGUGCAGGAGAGGUUAGCGGAAUUCCCGGUGUAGCGGUGAAAUGCGUAGAGAUUGGGAGGAACACCAGUGGCGAAGGCGACUUACUGGGCCGUAACUGACGCUGAGGCGCGAAAGCGUGGGGAGCGAACAGG